GUUGCUGCAAAUUCAGCGACCGGGUUUGGCGACCCGACUAUCAGUAGGCGCACAAGCGCCCCAUAUCCGACAGCAGGCGCUUUUUUU
rnacentral:sRNA from 1 species